rnacentral:rRNA from 1 species
GACGAACGCUGGCGGCGUGCUUAACACAUGCAAGUCGAACGGAAAGGCCCUGCUUUUGUGGGGUUCUCGAGUGGCGAACGGGUGAGUAACACGUGAGUAACCUGCCCUUGACUUUGGGAUAACUUCAGGAAACUGGGGCUAAUACCGGAUAGGAGCUCCUGCUGCAUGGUGGGGGUUGGAAAGUUUCGGCGGUUGGGGAUGGACUCGCGGCUUAUCAGCUUGUUGGUGGGGUAGUGGCUUACCAAGGCUUUGACGGGUAGCCGGCCUGAGAGGGUGACCGGCCACAUUGGGACUGAGAUACGGCCCAGACUCCUACGGGAGGCAGCAGUGGGGAAUAUUGCACAAUGGGCGGAAGCCUGAGGCAGCAACGCCGCGUGCGGGAUGACGGCCUUCGGGUUGUAAACCGCUUUCGCCUGUGACGAAGCGUGAGUGACGGUAAUGGGUAAAGAAGCACCGGCUAACUACGUG